rnacentral:rRNA from 1 species
CCUACGGGGGGCUGCAGUGAGGAAUAUUGGUCAAUGGACGAGAGUCUGAACCAGCCAAGUAGCGUGAAGGAUGACUGCCCUAUGGGUUGUAAACUUCUUUUAUAAAGGAAUAAAACGAGGCACGUGUGCCUUUUUGCAUGUACUUUAUGAAUAAGGAUCGGCUAACUCCGUGCCAGCAGCCGCGGUAAUACGGAGGAUCCGAGCGUUAUCCGGAUUUAUUGGGUUUAAAGGGAGCGUAGAUGGGUUGUUAAGUCAGUUGCGAAAGUUUGCGGCUCAACCGUAAAAUUGCAAUUGAUACUGGCAGUCUUGAGUACAGUUGAGGUAGGCGGAAUUCGUGGUGUAGCGGUGAAAUGCUUAGAUAUCACGAAGAACCCCGAUUGCGAAGGCAGCUUACUAAACUGUGACUGACAUUGAUGCUCGAAAGUGUGGGUAUCAAACAGGAUUAGAUACCCGAGUAGUC